GUGUGGCUGUCGUAAAAACCCUAUUUGUAAACAACCAGCCCUUUAACUCGGGGCUGCGUCAUAAGCACGGCGCGCUUGGAAGACCACGAUGUCAUCUUCCUUCUGUCAGGAGGAUCCAAGUGAAGCUACAGGAGUUUCAUUAACGUCAACAACUUGGACCAAACAGUUUGUUUUGCUUGAUGAAGAGCAGGAAGGGCAGCCUGGAGAGAAAGAGAAGCCGGGUUGAGCCCACUACCAUCAUCCACGUACCACGAGGAAGAUGAGGGAGAGAAAUGAUCCUACCAUUAAAGAGACUGUGAAAAGAACGUUGAGAACAUCACCACUCUACAGGAAGACACAGUCCAGUAAUGGGUGUCAGAAGUUCAGUAGUGAACGACAGAAACAAACAAUCCAAAUUACCUGCAGAAAGCCCUUGAUGGACGCUUCAGCUGCAUCGUCAGACUGGCAGUACUGAUGCAUUUACUGAGACGGGACGUGAGGGCCUACUCUGCGUGCUCAGAGUUCAAGCCCAGCAGGCUGCAGCGGGCCUGACAUAUUCUGGAACAGCAGCACAGUCUUUGGAUGACUCCUCUGAAGAUGAAAACAUGGCGAGUUCUUCUCAAGAGAAGCAGUACAGGUGUGCCUCAGCUCCACGGUCCCUCCUGCAGCCUCCGCUCCUGAUGCUAACCUCAUGUCUCCAUCACACCAAGCAGCAGACCUGGAUUGACAGACCUUUCUCCAGAGCUGCCCCCUCCCUCUGAAACCCCCCUCUCCAAAACACUAUUUGUGUAGUUUUUAAAGUAUUUUUUGCAUGAGAAUUGUUGAUCAUAACAUUUCCAGCAGAUGCCUUAAUAUAAUGUUUGUGCACAA